AUUGAACGCUGGCGGCAGGCCUAACACAUGCAAGUCGAACGAGUGGCGGACGGGUGAGUAAUGUCUGGGAAACUGCCUGAUGGAGGGGGAUAACUACUGGAAACGGUAGCUAAUACCGCAUACCAUCCGAUGAGCCCAGAUGGGAUUAGCUAGUUGGUGGGGUAACGGCUCACAAAGGCGACGAGCCCUCGCUGGUCUGAUAGGCUGACCGGCCACACUGGAACUGGGACACGGUCCAGACUCCUACGGGAGGCAGCAGUGGGGAAUAUUGCACAAGGGGCGCAAGCCGGAUGCAGCCAUGCCGGGUGUAUAAAGAAGGCCUUCGGGUGGUAAAGUACUUUCAGCGGGGAGGCGUUACCCGCAGAAGAAGCAACGGCUAACUCCGUGCCAGCCGCCGCGGUAAUUC
rnacentral:rRNA from 1 species